GUACAGGAAAUAGCAAACACACAUCUAAAAGGCGGGUAAUGUAGAAAUUGUGUCACUACUUCAGCAUACACUGCUUCACUGAGAGCAAGCACACUAAUCUUCAAGAUUGAGGUCUUAACAGAUUUGGACUUUUUGUCCACAGGGACAAAGGUGCUUGCUGCAGGAGAAUAGGAGAAUGUGACUGUGCUACAGAAGAUACCAUCUAGAAUAUUUUUCCAUUUGAUUAAAUGUUUUUCGUGUUGUGUAAGGUGUAGUCUUUAUAUCCAUUCCAUUUAUUUAUUUAUUUAUUAAAAAACAGAUUAUUUAGUAUAUGAAACAUAUCAAACUAUAAUUUCU